AAGCCGCGAAGACGGCCUUCUCCACAUCUUCCAGCACCUGCGCGCCUGAAUGCUUCCCACCCAGGCCCAGACGCAGGCUUCUCCUCGGGUCCUGGUCCUGCAUCCUCUCCCAGAGCCUCUGUUGGGGGUGGGAAAGGACGUUGCCAUAGGUCGCUGAGGACACCAUCUGCUCUCUUACUGGCCAAGGGCGUGAAAAGAUAGUCCUCCCAUUAGCUAGAGGGCAAACCCCAGAAAGCCUAUUGGCUGCGCCGUCCGCGGACCUUGGUCCGCUUUGAAGGCGGGCUGCGGCUGCGAGCGGAGGGUGGGCGGGAGGCUCGCUGUUGUCGUGGUUACGCGGAGGCACGUGUGCAGUCCCGGAAGCCGCGCCGGGAAGCUGCUCAGCGCGCGCCGCGGGAGGAGGCGCCGCCCGGUCCGUUAGGGUCGGGUCCGGCUGGGCCAUGGAGUCGUUGCCUGAGCCCGCGUCCCGCUGUCUUCUGCUUCUUCCCUUGCUGCUGCUGCUGCUGCUGCUGCCGGUCCCGGAGCUGGGCCCGAGCCAGGCCGGAGCUGAGGAGAACGACUGGGUUCGCCUGCCCAGCAAAUGCGAAGUGUGUAAAUACGUUGCCGUGGAGCUGAAGUCAGCCUUUGAGGAAACCGGCAAGACCAAGGAGGUGAUUGGCACAGGCUAUGGCAUCCUGGACCGGAAGGCCUCUGGAGUCAAAUACACCAAGUCCAUUUCAGAUCCCCCAGACCAGAUGACCUAUCUUCCUUCCAGCUCUGACUCACUUCCCAUUGGGACUUGCGGUUAAUCGAAGUCACUGAGACCAUUUGCAAGAGGCUCCUGGAUUAUAGCCUGCAUAAGGAGAGGACCGGCAGCAACCGAUUUGCCAAGGGCAUGUCAGAGACCUUUGAGACAUUACACAACCUGGUACACAAAGGGGUCAAGGUGGUGAUGGACAUCCCCUAUGAGCUGUGGAACGAGACUUCUGCAGAGGUGGCUGACCUCAAGAAGCAGUGCGACGUGCUGGUGGAAGAGUUUGAGGAGGUGAUCGAGGACUGGUACAGGAACCACCAGGAGGAAGACCUGACUGAAUUCCUCUGCGCCAACCACGUGCUGAAGGGAAAAGACACCAGUUGCCUGGCAGAGCAGUGGUCCGGCAAGAAGGGAGACACAGCUGCCCUGGGAGGGAAGAAGUCCAAGAAGAAGAGCAGCAGGGCCAAGGCAGCAGGCGGCAGGAGUAGCAGCAGCAAACAAAGGAAGGAGCUGGGUGGCCUUGAGGGAGACCCCAGCCCCGAGGAGGAUGAGGGCAUCCAGAAGGCAUCCCCUCUUACACACAGCCCCCCUGAUGAGCUCUGAGCUCACCCAGCGUCUUCUGUCCUGAGACCCCUGAUUUUGAAGCUGAGGAGUCAGGGGCAUGGCUCUGGCAGGCCAGGAUGGCCCCACAGCCUUCAGGCCCUCCUCGCCUUGGCUGUGCCCGCUUCUGCCAAGGAAAGACAGAAGCCCCAGGAAGAACUCAGAGCCGCCAUGGGUAGCCCACGCCGUCCUUUCCUCUCCCCAAGUGUUUCUCUCCUGACCCAGGGUUCAGGCAGGCCUUGUGGUUUCAGGACUGCAAGGACUCCAGUGUGAACUCAGGAGGGGCAGGUGUCAGAACUGGGCACCAGGACUGGAGCCCCUCCGGAGACCAAACUCACCUCCCCUCAGUCCUCCCCAACAGGGAACUAGGACUGCAGGCCCCAUAACUCCUCUCUGCUUACCCCUCCUGUGGACACCUUGCACUCUGCCUGGCCCUCCCCAGGGCCCAAAGAGUAAAAAUGUUCUGGUUCUGAUUUCUGAGUCAUCUGCAGCCCUCA